UUUAUAAACAGACGUUUAAACUUUUAAUUUUUGACAAUAAAAUUAACUCAAUUAUUCUUUAUUGAGAAAAAUAUAGCACGCUACCUGCUUCAUUCAUUAAGAAAAUUGAACUGAGCUUUACAAAAUGAAAGCAGCUAAGGCCUCCGAGUAAACCGAAGGCAGGAGGCAAAAUUUUUAAAAAAAACUAAUGCCAAUUUACAAAAAAAAUCCACUAAUUUUGCACUUUUGGAAAAGUGGGCCACUUUUUUAACUUUUGCAGAUUCGGGCCGAAUUUUCAGAAGGAUGACCAAACUACCUCUCUUUCAAAAUGCAUAAAAAUUAUAUACUUUAAAUGCCUAAAAAAAUACAACUGCUAAGCCAUUAAGUGUAAAACUUCUGGAAAAUGACAACUGGAAUUACAUGUUACCUUCCUCGUGAAACGAGAAACCUUAUUCAAGAAAAAAUAAAAAGAAUAAUAAAUAAUAAAUAAGAUGAAAGUGUGCAACAUCCUCUCAAAUAGUGCAACAUGCUUUUUCAAAUAGUGCAAUAUCUGUAUAAGUAGUGCAACAUAUGCAUUGUUAAUACACAUUUUGCAUGAUUUUUACACUAAAUUACGUACAGUUUAGAAUAUUACGAAAAAAUAAUAUAAUAUAUUACAACAUACUAUAAAAAUUAUACAAUUUAUAUACAAAUGUUGCAUAUUUUACACUAUUUGUACAGAUAUUUACACCAUUUGUGUAAAAUGUUGCAUUAUUAUGAGAAAAUGUUGCACCAUUUAGAUGUGUAUUACACUCUUUCUUUUUGAAAAUUAAAUUUCAUUGCAUAUUAAAUAAAGUGUCAAACUUUUUGAAAAUGACAACUACUAAACCAUAAUUACAUGUUCCUUUCUCGUGAAACGAGAAACCUCAUUCAAGACAAAAUAAAAAAAAUAAAGAAUAAUUAAUAAUAUGAAAUAGUGCAACAUCCUCUCAAAUAGUGCAACAAGCUCUUCAAAAUAGUAUAAUAUCUGUAUAAGUAGUGCAACAUAUGCAUUAUUAAUACACAUUUUGCAUAAUUUUUACACUAAAUUACGUACAGUUUAGUUUAUUACGCAAAAAUAAUGCAUAUAUAAGUAGUGCAACAUAUGCAUUAUUUUCGCGUAAUAUACUAAACUAUACAUAAUUUAGUAUAAAAAUUAUGCAAAAUGUGUAUUAACAAUACAUAUGUUAUACUACUCAUACAAAUAUUGCAAUAUUUGGAAGAGCGUGCUGCACUAUUUGAGAGGAUGUUGCACUUUUUUAUCUUAUUAAUUAUAUUUUAUUCUUUUUAUUUUGUUUUGAAUGAGAAUUCUCGUUGCACGAGAAAGGUACAAGUAAUUAUAGUUUAGCAGUUAUUAUUUUUAAGAAGUUUUACACUAAAUGUCUUAGCAGUUGUAUUUUUUUAGGCAUUUAAAGCAUGUAAUUUUUAUGUAUUUUGAAAGAGAGGUAGUUUGAUUAUUCUUCUGAAAAUUUGGUCCGAAUCUGUAAAAACUAAAAAGGUGACCUACUUUUACAAAAGCUCAAAAUUAGUAAAUUUUUUAUACAAAUUGGUCAAAAACUAAAGGGGAAGGAAGUGACAAGAUGAGAGAGGAUAGGGGUAGCGAGGGUGUAGUGG
rnacentral:lncRNA from 1 species